rnacentral:rRNA from 1 species
UAGAGAGAAGCUUGCUUCUCUUGAGAGCGGCGGACGGGUGAGUAAUGCCUAGGAAUCUGCCUGGUAGUGGGGGAUAACGUUCGGAAACGGACGCUAAUACCGCAUACGUCCUACGGGAGAAAGCAGGGGACCUUCGGGCCUUGCGCUAUCAGAUGAGCCUAGGUCGGAUUAGCUAGUUGGUGAGGUAAUGGCUCACCAAGGCGACGAUCCGUAACUGGUCUGAGAGGAUGAUCAGUCACACUGGAACUGAGACACGGUCCAGACUCCUACGGGAGGCAGCAGUGGGGAAUAUUGGACAAUGGGCGAAAGCCUGAUCCAGCCAUGCCGCGUGUGUGAAGAAGGUCUUCGGAUUGUAAAGCACUUUAAGUUGGGAGGAAGGGCAGUUACCUAAUACGUAAUUGUUUUGACGUUACCGACAGAAUAAGCACCGGCUAACUCUGUGCCAGCAGCCGCGGUAAUACAGAGGGUGCAAGCGUUAAUCGGAAUUACUGGGCGUAAAGCGCGCGUAGGUGGUUAGUUAAGUUGGAUGUGAAAUCCCCGGGCUCAACCUGGGAACUGCAUUCAAAACUGACUGACUAGAGUAUGGU